CCAGACGCAAGAGGAAGGAGGAUGAGGGCCGGUCCCGACCUGCUUGUUAGCCUCAUCAAAAAAGACGCAGUUGACCGGGGUUGCCUUCUCGAAGUGCACCGGCCGUUCGCACAGCUCCAGGCUUCCUCAAGACACGGCAGCUGGUUUCCCUCAGAGCAAGGGAUCCAAGAGAGAGCAAGUGUGGCCCAGAGACACCAAAAGGUUGAACACCCCUGCGUCGAGUCGUUGCUAAAAACAUUGAGUAAACAAACUGGGUUGAUGUUGAAGUCCUGAGCCUCCUGAAUCUGGUAUGACAGUGACUGGCUGGUAGGUGGCUCCGCAGCUAAUCUUCUCUCAAGUUAGCGUAAAUCCCAAUCCUACCUGUUAUAUUUCCCUAAUUAAUGGUUUUUUAGAAAUUCACAUAAGCUCAAGUGAUUACAUAAUUUUAAUAAUUCUAUAUUUAUGACAUACUCACUGUCUUAUCAUAUGCCUUCUCUUCCCUUUUAAAAGUGGUAUUGGAGUGGCCCCCUAUGGAUUUCUAAUAGCUUCCCACUCUCCAUCCUUUCUCAGCAGUCAUAGGCAAUGUUCCCACAACUGCAUCUGAAAAUUUCCCAAAUAUCUUAGAUAUUUUUCAACCAAGCAAAAUUCAGUGGAAGCAGCAGAAUGCCCAUCCACCAAACUUUGUAUUUAUCUUGGGCUAUGUAUUAGUCUGCUUGGCCUACUACUAUAACAGAAUACCCAGAUUGGGUGGCUUCAAACACAGAAAUUAAUUUCCUUAUAGUUCUGGAGGAUAGAAGUCCAAGAUUAAAGCAACAGCAGGAGUGGUAUCUGGUGAAGCCUCUCUUGUUGGGGUGCACAUGGCAGGUACCCUCACAUGACCUUUCCUUUGUGCUUACAUAGAGAGAUCUCUGGUGUCUCUCUCCUUAUAAGGACACUAGUCCUAUUGAAUUAAGGCUCCACCCUUAAUAAUUUCUCUUACCCUUUAUUACCUCCUUAAAAGCCUACUUCUAAAAACACUUAUCAUUUUAGAGGUUAAGGCUUCAAUAUAUGAAUUAGCAAGAGACACAUUUGGGGGAACAGGGUUCAAUGUUUGUUUCACCAUUUUUUAAAUACAACUUCCAAAAGAUGAAAUAGAAGAUGUGUAGUUGGUUUUGCUGCUUAAUAACAAUAUAUUAACACUUCAAGCAAUGGAUUUAUGUUUCUACUUCUUGCUUCAAAUUUAACUUCUCAAAUCCUUGACAUUUUCUACGUUUUUUAUAAAUCUUAGCUCUUCUUGCGCUUUACCGAGAUAUUGUUCUUAUAGUAUCAAGUAUUCUAAUUGAUUAUGUCCCAGAAGGCACAGAUUGAAAAGUAUUCACAGAGCUAUAUAAAUAGUAGCUCACUCACUAAUUCUGUAAUGAAUACCCCAUCUUCCCACUUCAUCUGCUACUUUAUCUUUAACUAUAUUUGAUCUUAACUCUGAAAAAGCUAGCUAUGUUUGGGAGAAAGUUGGAAAGCCUCAGGCAGAAAAAAUAAUGCUUUCCCAAAUGUAACCUUUUAAUAUUUUUAAAUUGGAAAUCAAAGAAUAAAAACAAGAAGCUUGCAAAAGAAGAAACUGGUAUUUCCAAGUAGAAAAUAUACUUUGAAAACAUAAAUCAUUCUUUAAUUUUUAUGAAAUCACUUUAAAAUUCAAAUAGAAAAAUACAUAUCUUCAAAAAAUAUGAUGAGGCUUGAAAAUCCAAUCAGAUGAGCUUUUCCCACCCAAUGUCUUAAGUGCUAGAAAACUACUCAGAAUUCUAAAAGGUACAGACAGCAGUCUCUUCUGAGGCCCAGAGCCUAAAUGAACCACAAAAGAUGGACUGCCUAUAACAACCUCAGGGCCUCUAUCUGCUUCACCUUCCUUGGGGAGGAGAGCAGGGAUCUACCAUGAUCAAUAUUGCACCAUCAGCUGCCUCACAUCAUCCUGUUUUC